rnacentral:sRNA from 1 species
GACCGCGCCCCCUGGGUCCCCUACCUGAGUAUCGUGGGCAUUCUGGCCAUCAUCGCCUCUUUCUGCAGUGGGCCAGGUGGCAUCCCAUUCAUCUUGACUGGUGAGUUCUUCCAGCAAUCUCAGCGGCCGGCUGCCUUCAUCAUUGCAGGCACCGUCAACUGGCUCUCCAACUUUGCUGUUGGGAUCCUCUUCCCAUUCAUUCAGAAAAGUCUGGACACCUACUGUUUCCUAGUCUUUGCUACAAUUUGUAUCACAGGCGCUAUCUACCUAUAUUUUGUGCUGCCUGAGACCAAAAACAGAACCUAUGCAGAAAUCAGCCAGGCAUUUUCCAAAAGGAGCAAAGCAUACCCACCAGAAGAGAAAAUCGACUCGGCUGUCACUGAUGCAGCUCAAAGGAACUAAGACAAAGAUCAUGGAGACCAUCGGGUGAGUCUCAAGACUUCCCCCAGCUCUGCUUGGCUGGUCUCCUGCUGGUAUUUUCUGUCUGUAGAGAGGAACAAGAACUUCAAUUUUAUCUUGCUUACCUGCACUUAUGAAAUGUCAAACUGAGUCAUGUUGAGAGCCAGGGAACAUAGGAGUCAGUUCUUCUGCAGCAGCACUCAGCCAGUUGAAGGCAAUGUGGAGUGAUGGAAGGAGAGCAGUGAUGCAGUGAUGCUGGCACCAACUCCUUUACUAUGGCAUCCAUUGUACCAGCUGCCAUACACCAGGCAACUUCUACACUUUAUCUCUAAUCAUCCUAGAAUAAGUAUUAGUUUCCCCAUCUUCUAGAAAGGAAAACUCAGACCCAGAGACACUAAGCAAGUAGCUCAACAUCACACACGUUAUCUGUGAUUAAGCCUGAGUUAGAAAUGGAGCCUUGGAUUUCCACAUUUAUGCUCUUUUCAUGAAGCUACCUGACUUUGAUACUCAAGUUUGUCCAUCUACAACACGGGACUGCUGGACUAGAAAUCUCUAAGUCCCCUUUACC